CCGUCGUGACAAAGAAGUAGAGCUGCAUGGUAGAUGCUCAUUCAUGAGUAUUAGUUAUAAACUUAUAGGUUAGGCGUCCUUAGUCCUCCACUUGUAAACAACUUUCUGCAGCGGACUUGCGUCAGCCCACACGUGUCGCCAGCUGCCUCGGAGGUACAUGCUGUCUUGUUUUCUUUCAUGGCCGAAAUAUAACCACAUUUCGUAGUCCCGUGAGUCUCAAAAUGCUACUUGCAUUCGCCGGAGCAGCAUAAGGUGGCAUCGUUAUAAAACUCAAGUCUGGGAGGGAAGUUAGAGCAGAACAGGCAGGUUGAACUGCCCUCACAUGGCUCAAACAGCGACUGAACUGUUCAGCACCACGGAGAGCUCCCUGUUCUUUUACGCACUCACAUCCUAAGUGUCGAACAAGGACGUGACUGCAAACUGAGGAAUCUUACUGACAGAAAAGCGACGCUGGAAGAGGAAGAGGAGGGAGUGAUGUGAAGGAGCUGUUGCUGCAGCAGAGACCAGGCACACCGCAUGGGGAAACCCGGGAGCUGUCCAGCAGCAAUGGAGAGAACAAUGACAACAUGAGUGAAGAUGGAAACGGGGUGACUUAGGAGCUCAGGUGGACUUGACUGCUGCUGCUGGAGCCUUCAGCUGGGCGCCGGUGAGAAAAGGUGACCUACGAUUUGGAUGUAUGCACCGAGGAUCGACUGAAAGAGGGACCGACCGAUCGACCUUCCUUCCUCCCCCUUUUCUCUGUCCUCCCUCACCUUCUCUCUCUCUCUUCUCCAUCUUGAGACAGGAGAUGUUCACGAACAAGUUGAAUCAGACGUGAUAACAAACUGUUCCUCACUUUGCCUUCACAGUUAAUGGAUGACGGUCAAAAAGAAAGAAAAUGGAAACUAACACGACCGAUGACAGAAAAGAAGAAAAGGAACCUGCAGGGUCGGCACCUAACUCAGAGAUUAUUGUGCCUUGGCGCACAUUUGGUGCCAGGUGGCUUGCUGUCCUGUGCGUCAUUUUGAAAAUUCCUCACAGCAGAUACAAACAAUGAGAUACACACGUGGACAAGAGGCUGAACAUGCUCAUGGGCGGCUCUUCAGCUGGACACACACAUGGCAGAUGCAAAUCCUGUGACCUUGUUGCCGUCGGACCGCAGCUAUUUGACUGCGAGGACGUGGCCGUGACGUGACUGUGGACAUCUGAUAGACCGUGUGUAUGUGUAUGUGUGUGUGUCAUUUGUAAAAAUAAAUAAAAUGAUAUUUUUGAAAUCCAUUUAAAGACAAUGUGAUGCUACUAUCUUUCUUACAUAAAUUGUGCCAGAGAAAUUACAUUUCCCUGGCACAAUUAAACAUUCAGUCUAUUGUUUUAAUGUUAAGAAAUUGCCUGCAUAUGUUUGUUUUAAUAAACAGCCUUAUGUCAGAGCCUGUGUGUUGAUAAUUAUGUAUUAUUAUUUAAUUCAGCUAUGUGAUAUUGGCUGUGUUGAGGUUGCAGGAUGCCAAUCGGUACUUAAAAAUAUUUUAAACAUGUGUUUUUUAAAGAUUACUUUGUAAAAGAUGACAAUUUAACACGACAUUUGUAAAUGUAUUUUAUGUCUGCUGUGUGUAAGGGUGAUUGAGAGACAGCCAGUCACUAAUACUCUUAAUUUUAUCCUGUUUGAAGCUGUUACACAACUUGCUGCUCCUUCUCGUCAGUGUCACGUUGACUUCGAUCUCUUCUCUUCUGUCAAAGAAUACGAGCAGCUGCAUCAUGUCUACAAGCAAACAAUCUUAUUCUUAUACUUUUGCCCCUCUGCUGAGUACAUGACAGCCCUCGCUUUGUCUCGUAGACCUUUUAUUUGUCACAAUUUUACGUUUAAUUUGCGUGUGUGUGUGUGAGAGAGAGGAAGCAUGGCGGCAGAUGGGUGUGCUGGAGACUCCAAAAGCUGCUGCAAAUAGCCUUUCGGGGUCGGAGUGGGGGAAACAGAGCACAUACUGCCGAGCUUAAAAUCAUGACAGUCUGUUCUUGUGAAACAUCUGGACUCUGUAAGCAUGACUGGCUCAUUUGUGUGUAUGAAAAUGUAGACAAAACAAUAAAAUAAAGCG